ACGAAGCUGAAUGGGGCUGGUCUUGAUUUGAAUGCCUCGAAAUGCGCAACAAUGAUGGUGCUGAAAAAUGGUAAGAAAAAAUCAACUUACAUGUCAUUAAAAGGAAUAAUAAUUAACGGAAAUGAAAUACCAACAAUGAAAGCCACAGAAACAUACAAAUAUCUGGGAUUGCAAAUGAGGUUUAAAUCAAAAGAACAAAAUACAAAAGAGGUGAUAGAGAAAGGAUUAGAGAACGUAACAAAAGCACCUCUAAAGCCCCAGCAAAGAAUGCAUAUCCUAAGAGACUUCAUAAUACCAAGAUUAAUACACAAAAUGGUAUUAGGAAGAGUGGCUAAAAAGACGCUUAAAAGAAGCGACCAACUUAUAAGAAAAAAAGUACGAAACUGGCUACAUCUCCCGAAAGACACUUCAUCAGCCUUCAUACAUGCUGAUGCGGGGGAUGGAGGACUCGGAUUACCAGCAUUAAUACAUAUUAAUCAUAUGCUAAAAAGAUAUCGAAUAUUAAACUUAAGAAACUCAACUGAUCCAGUAACUAAAUAAUGCCUGAAAAUGGAGUACACAAGACAAGUACUAGGAAAGUGGAGUAAGCCUACCAAAAUAGGAGAAAUUCUGGCAACUUAUAAAAUCAAAAUGAAGGAAGUGUUCAGAAAAAAGUUGUUACAAACUCUGGAUGGAAAAGGGUUACAAGACCAUCAUGAAACCCCUACUAUCCACAAAGGGAUUAGAAGAGGAGAUAAUAUGACAGGGAAGCAGUACAUAUCUGCAGUAAAGAUCAGAGGAAAUCUAAUAGCGACUAAAUCAAGAAAUAGUAGAGGAAGACCUGAGCGGGACGGACUAUGCAAUGCCCAAUGCGGACGACCGAAUAGCUUGGGUCACAUUCUUCAAGGGUGCUGGAGAACCCACGGAAUGCGAGUCGAGAGGCACAACAAUAUCUGCCGAAGAAUAAAGGCUAUAACAAAAUUAAAAGAAAGUGAAGUAAUCGAAGAGCCAAGAUUACAAACAGAUGAAGGACUCAGAAAGCCUGACUUAAUAAUUCGGCACAAAGGAAAAACAAUAAUAUGCGAUGCACAAGUAGUGGCAGAUAGCUAAAAUUGCGAUUUAGAAAAUGAAAACAAAAGGAAAAUAGACUACUAUAAGAAAGAUUCAAUAAUCAAGGAAACAAGAAAACUUAUCGGACGUGUCGAGGAAAAUAUAAUAGCAAUGGCAUUCACAUUCAAUUGGAGAGGAGCCAUAGCAAAAGAUUCAAUGAGAGAUUUAGAGAUACUCCUAGACAUAAAAUCGAAAGAAGUAAUCAAAAUGUCCAGAAAGAUACUAAGGGAUAACAGCAUCAUGGUGAUGAUGCAUAGAAACCGAACUGAGAGGAAAAGGUAGUAGAAAAAGAAAGAAUACAAAAAUGAUUGGGAAUUAUGACCGAUAUAGCUGAAAGCCAAAAGGAAGGUUAGAUCCUGAAACCGAAGUGUAGUUUCGAUCCCAAGAGGAACUGUGGGUUAAGCUUGAGCCGAUGGAAAAAGCGAAUGCAUGUUAGAUGGCGAGGUACAGUCACCUCCUCGUGGUAUUUGGCGGGCAAUGCUCACUAAAAUAACUGUGAGUAGCUAAGACUGUAUAUUUAUCAUGAAAAAAAAUAGCCAAAUGCCUCGUCAUCUAAUUAGUGACGUGCAUGAAUGGAUUAACGAGAUUCCUACUGUCCCUAUCUACUAUCUAGCGAAACUACAGCCAAGGGAACGGGCUUGGAAAAUAUAGCGGGGAAAGAAGACCCUGUUGAGCUUGACUAUAGUCCGACUUUGUAGGAGAACUUUAGAGGUGUAGCAUAUGUGGGAGACUUCGGUCGACAGUGAAAUACCACUACUCUGAUUGUUUUUUACUUACUCAAUGAUGCAGUAUAAUUAACUUUUGUUUGUUUAUUUUAGUGAAAAAAUUGCGAUCUUCGGAUGCAAUUGAACUUUUUUGAAGGACAGUGUCAGGUGGGGAGUUUGACUGGGGCGGUACAUCUGUCAAAUGGUAACGCAGAUGUCCCAAGGGAAGCUCAACUAGGACAGAAACCUGGUGUUGACUAAAAGGGGAAAAGCUUCCUUGAUCUUGAUUUUCAGUACGAAUACAGACCGUGAAAGCGCGGCCUAUCGAUCCUUUUGAUUUUUACAGAGUUUGUAGCAAGAGGUGUCAGAAAAGUUACCACAGGGAUAACUGGCUUGUGGCGGCCAAGCGUUCAUAGCGACGUCGCUUNGACGUGCAUGAAUGGAUUAACGAGAUUCCUACUGUCCCUAUCUACUAUCUAGCGAAACUACAGCCAAGGGAACGGGCUUGGAAAAUAUAGCGGGGAAAGAAGACCCUGUUGAGCUUGACUCUAGUCCGACUUUGUAGGAGAACUUUAGAGGUGUAGCAUAAGUGGGAGACUUCGGUCGACAGUGAAAUACCACUACUCUGAUUGUUUUUCUACUUACUCAAUGAAGCAGUAUAAUUAACUUUUGUUAAUUUUUUUUAGUGAAAAAAUUGCGAUCUUCGGAUGCAAUUGAACUGUUUUGAGGACAGUGUCAGGUGGGGAGUUUGACUGGGGCGGUACAUCUGUCAAAUGGUAACGCAGAUGUCCCAAGGGAAGUUCAACUAGGACAGAAGCCUGGUGUUGACUUAAAUGGGAAAAGCUUCCUUGAUCGUGAUUUUCAGUACGAAUACUGACCGUGAAAGCGUGGCCUAUCGAUCCUUUUAAUUUUUACAGAGUUUGUAUCAAGAGGUGUCAAAAAAACUAGUGGUUUUUACUAGUAAUGUCCAUUCUUGUCACUAUAAAUAUCCGGGGAUAUUUAUAGAGAGUUGUUUGCUAUCAGGUGCCUUACUGUUUCCAUCAGCAACCAUGAUAGCUAGACUCAAUUGGNGUCAGAAAAGUUACCACAGGGAUAACUGGCUUGUGGCCGGCCAAGCGUUCAUAGCGAGUCGCUUUUUGAUCCGUCGAUGUCGGCUCUUCCUAUCAUUGAGAAGCAGAAUUCGCAAAGCGCUGGACAGUUCAACCACUAAUAGGGAAUGUGAGCUGGGUUUAGACCGUCGUGAGACAGGUUAGUUUUACCCUACUAUAUAAUUUGUCAUGAUAAUAGUAAUUCUGCUCAGUACGAGAGGAACCGCAGAUUCGGAUCACUGGUAAAUGGGCUUGAUCGAAAGGUCAGUGGUACGAAGCUACCAUCCGAGAGAUUAAGACUUAACGCCUCUAAGUUUGAAUCUCGCCUAAAAAUCAUAAUAUUUUGUGCCAUCCUCGUAAUUGU
rnacentral:rRNA from 1 species